AUUGAACUCUGGCGGCAGGCCUAACACAUGCAAGUCGAACGGAGUGGCGGACGGGUGCGUAAUGUCUGGGAAACUGCCCUAUGGAGGGGGAUAACUACUGGAAACUGUAGCUAAUACCGCAUACUAUCAGAUGAGCCUAGGUCGUAGUAUCUAGUUGGUGGGGUAACGGCCUACCAAGGCGACGAUCCGUAACUGGUCGUAGAGGUUGAUCGGCAACAUGAGAACUGAGAAACGGUCAUGACUCCUACGGAAGGCAGAGUGGGGGAUAAGUGGCCAAUGGGAGAAAGCCUGAUCGAGUCAUGACGCGUUGGUGAAGAUGGUCUUCGGAUUGGGAAGCACGGGUAAAUGGGUGGCGUUACCAGCAGAAUAAGAACCGGAUAACUUCGUGCCAGCAGCCGCGGUAAUAC
rnacentral:rRNA from 1 species